CAGUAGCCGCGGGAAUACGAAGGGUGCAAGCGUUAAUCGGAAUUACUGGGCGUAAAGCGCGCGUAGGUGGUUUGGUAAGAUGGAUGUGAAAUCCCCGGGCUCAACCUGGGAACUGCAUCCAUAACUGCCUGACUAGAGUACGGUAGAGGGUGGUGGAAUUUCCUGUGUAGCGGUGAAAUGCGUAGAUAUAGGAAGGAACACCAGUGGCGAAGGCGACCACCUGGACUGAUACUGACACUGAGGUGCGAAAGCGUGGGGAGCAAACAGGAUUAGAUACCCCAGUAGUCCCUGUCUCUUAUAC
rnacentral:rRNA from 1 species